rfam:Gracilibacillus kekensis strain CGMCC 1.10681 genome assembly, contig: Ga0079828_107
UUCUUAUCCAGAGAGGUGGAGGGACUGACCCUGCGAAGCCUCGGCAACCAGCACAAAUGUGCCCGGUGCCAAUUUCAGAGGAUCUGUUAAUAGAUCCUAAAGAUGAGAA